ACCCGCUGAACUUAAGCAUAUCAAUAAGCGGAGGAAAAGAAACCAACAGGGAUUGCCUCAGUAACGGCGAGUGAAGCGGCAACAGCUCAAAUUUGAAAGCUAGCCUUCGGGUUCGCAUUGUAAUUUGUAGAGGAUGCUUUGGGUAAAACGCCAGUCUAAGUUCCUUGGAACAGGACGUCAUAGAGGGUGAGAAUCCCGUAUGUGACUGGAAAUGUUAACCUAUGUAAAGCUCCUUCGACGAGUCGAGUUGUUUGGGAAUGCAGCUCUAAAUGGGAGGUAAAUUUCUUCUAAAGCUAAAUAUUGGCGAGAGACCGAUAGCGCACAAGUAGAGUGAUCGAAAGAUGAAAAGCACUUUGGAAAGAGAGUUAAAAAGCACGUGAAAUUGUUGAAAGGGAAGCGCUUGCAAUCAGACUUGUUUAAACUGUUCGGCCGGUCUUCUGACCGGUUUACUCAGUUUGGACAGGCCAGCAUCAGUUUCGGCGGCCGGAUAAAGGCUCUGGGAAUGUGGCCUCCACUUCGGUGGAGGUGUUAUAGCCCAGUGUGUAAUACGGCCAGCCGGGACUGAGGUCCGCGCUUCGGCUAGGAUGCUGGCGUAAUGGUUGUAAGCGACCCGUCUUGAAACACGG
rnacentral:rRNA from 1 species